GACGAACGCUGGCGGCGUGCUUAACACAUGCAAGUCGAACGGAAAGGCCCUGCUUUUGUGGGGUGCUCGAGUGGCGAACGGGUGAGUAACACGUGAGUAACCUGCCCUUGACUUUGGGAUAACUUCAGGAAACUGGGGCUAAUACCGGAUAGGAGCUCCUGCUGCAUGGUGGUGGUUGGAAAGUUUAGGCGGGUGGGGAUGGACUCGCGGCUUAUCAGCUUGUUGGUGGGGUAGUGGCUUACCAAGGCUUUGACGGGUAGCCCGCCUGAGUGGGGGACCGGGCAACAUGGGACUGAGGUAAGGGCCAGACGCCAACGGGAGGCAAGAGGGGGGAAUAUUGCACAAUGGGGCGAAGCCUGAUGAAACAAACUCGGGUUCGGGAAGAACGGCUUCGGGUUGGAAACCGCAUUCGGCUGUGAACGAGCGUUGGUGACGGUAAUGGGUGAAGAAGCACCGGCUAACUUCGUG
rnacentral:rRNA from 1 species